AGGAGCUGUGGGAUUUGUCUCCCUCCCUUGCUGGAGUGCAGACCCCCUACUAAGAUGCCUCUAUUCAUGGGGGAUCCAUCUAAAGUUGUGAUCCAAGGCAUUCUGUGUAGCAUGGUGCAGUGUGACCCACCAGGGAUCCAUGGUUUGGUGGAGGUCAAGAAUUCUACCCAUCGUCUACAUUCCUUGGUUGAGGUGGUUCCUCGUGAACAUGGCGGGUAUCGUGAAUCAUUAUUUCUGCUGUUUCUGUCGUAUGAGUUAAAAUAUUUGUCUAGCGAUGUCAAAGGAUGGCCAAACAUAAAACAAGCGGUGGUUGGUAAUAUUCAAGAACAGCAGGCGAGGAUUGAAAACCGUAGUGAACUGGUGAAAUGAGCGAAGCUAGGAGGUUGUGGACAUGUUCAUUAUAAUGUUGCUUUACCUCAGAUGAUAAAAUACCCAUCAUGGUGUAUAUAUAUUAAAACCAAUGCAGUCCAAACAUGAAUAAUCCGAAUCCAAAGUUGGAACGAAGCCGGAUUCCGGACGGACACCACGAUAGCUGUCUCGUGUGCGCACUGCGCAGUGUACUUGGUCGUGAGGAGUGACAUCAAUGCUUGUCUUUCUCGCCUGAGUCGUUGACGUGCAAGGACGUCUCGUUGUUCUUCUCCUGUGGCCAGAGGUGUACUCUGUCGUUAAGGCCGUGGGUGGUGCACAUGUGCCGGACAGCCAGCUGAUGGGCGCCAGACUGUAAUGGUGAUCAGCCAGCUGCUACUGCCACCCGAGCCGGUGAGGCCAUGAACUGCUCCUCUCUGCCGCCUCCAGAUGGACCAUCUGCCCUUCGACCACAUCUGCCCUUUUGGUGUUCCACGUGCCGAGCGAAUCCGGGGAGAAGGUGACUCGGGGCAUCUCGACGCUGCUCUCCAUGACUGUCUUCCUCAUGACCAUCAGAGUCCCUGCCGCCCACUGAGAAGACACCGCUCGUCAGUAAGUGUGCCGUCACCUGUGUUCACGGAGGUCAAGGUAAGAAGCCACUGACCCACCACUCCUGCCCGCCACUCCGUCUGCUCGCCUUCACUUGGGUUCGGUGGAGGUGUUUCAUCGCCUUCGGUACUCUCAGGUGCGGGAACAUGACAAGAGGUGGCGGCGUUGGCAGCUGGUAAUACACCCUCACAGGUGACCAAGGGCAGUACCGUCGCCAGGUGGCCACACAGCCCCCCUCCUCAUACUGCUGGUGAACCUCAACGUGACAGAUGACCUCACUAAGGUUACAGGUCGCAGAGAUUACCUGUAUUUACAUCUAAGAUCUCUAGAUGGACGGUACGUGGAACUGAAUCCUGAGACGAAUCAUCUUGGCAGCGCGAGACUCAAGGGACGAGGCUGAUGUGAUUAUGUGUGGUGUAAAUAGCAAGCCAGCGCCAAGUACAUGAGUUGAGACGAAAAGACGCCGUGACGCAGUAGCUACGCCUCUGGUCUCGCGGACAGAUCUGCCGCAAGAGGUGAGUUUUGUCCUGGCCGCGGAAUUCCAGAUAACGCAGGUGUUUGGGAGGGUGGAUGAUCAGCCAGGACUGAGUAGAUGCUGAGUCUCGGGAGUGAACUAUGUGGUGCAGGACUGUAGCGGUUAUGCAGUCUCUUUUAACGAGACACAUAUCGUGGAGGAGGCUGGCGAGUGCUCUCAACACACGUGACGGAGCGGCGCCAUGGUAACUGUGACCGUGGCCAGGAAGUCUCUUGUGCUGAACACUGCAAUGUUGUGUUAUCAAGACUGUGUAUUGGUGCAGCGCAUACAGUCGGAUCACUAAGCGUGUUGUAGUGAUGAGACUAUAGCGAAUGAUUAUUGAUCGUUAGAAAAAACUAUAGGCGUGACAAUAAUUCGGUGCUUGAGUUAUACUAACGCAGCCGCCGCCAUCAUCACCGCCACCACCGCUACUGAGAUUAAGUACAUGAUUCUUGUUCUCGUUAAUAGUGAUAGGAAAGAAAUAUCUCCAUUUUCCCCCGUAUACUGUGGAAGUGCUCCCUCAACACACCGCCGCCGCCGCUAUGAGAGGCAUCCCGCUGCGGUGUGAGGGGAGGAGCCCGCCACCACGCCAGCAACUGAAGUGAAAGGAAAUGUAUUGUGAAGGAUACUGUGAGGCGGUAAGGUUGAGUACUAACGAAGAAAAAAAAAAAAAAGUUGGCAGAAAUGUACCAAGAGUUCUUUUUAAUAAAAUGAAGUAAAAGAGAAUGCAAUAUAGAUACGGUGAGGUUUGCACGCUAAUGAAUGGACAAAAAAAAAAAAAAAAACUUGCCUCAUGUUAAAUGAAUUAUUGAAAGAGUAUCACCAAUAAAAGGAACUAAAAGAAAAUGUAACAUUGAUGUGGUGAGAGUGCACGAUAACAGAUGAACUGUAAAGAAUGUAUUAUGUUACGUGAAAUGGGACAAGAUUUCUCACCAAUAAAGCGAGAUAAAAAAAAAUGUAGUAUGGAUGUGACGAGGGUGUGCACUGAUAGAUGGACAAAAAGAAUACGUAAUGAAGAAUAAGAUGUGGCAGGAGUCCUCACAAAACAAGACCAACUGAAGGAUAAUCUAACAUGGCAGCGUGAGUGCACACUUACAGGUGAAUUAAAGGAAUGUGUUAAUAUAAAAAUGUGACACAAUUUCUUACUCUAGGUGCAUAAAAAGGAAACGUAGAAUAUGUGACGUUGGAUGAACAUUAAUGAAAGGACUUACAAAUGAAUAUAACGCAAGAGAGGUUGUGUAGGAAGUUUUCACGAAUAAUUCAAGUCAAAGAAAAUGUGUUGUGAGAAAUGCUGUUCGGGUGUGUACAAAAUAAACGGGCUAAGAGAAUACAUAAUAUUGGAAAAAAAAAGUAAAUAAAUAAAUGAAUA